rnacentral:rRNA from 1 species
AUACGUAGGGGGCGAGCGUUGUCCGGAAUGAUUGGGCGUAAAGGGCGCGUAGGCGGCCCGGUAAGUCUGGAGUGAAAGUCCUGUUUUUAAGAUGGGAAUUGCUUUGGAUACUGUCGGGCUUGAGUGCAGGAGAGGUAAGUGGAAUUCCCAGUGUAGCGGUGAAAUGCGUAGAGAUUUGGAGGAACACCAGUGGCGAAGGCGACUUACUGGACUGUAACUGACGCUGAGGCGCGAAAGUGUGGGGAGCAAACAGGAUUAGAUACCCUGGUAGUCCACACUGUAAACGAUGAAUGCUAGGUGUAGGGGGUAUCGACCCCUUCUGUGCCGCAGUCAACACAAUAAGCAUUCCGCCUGGGGAGUACGGCCGCAAGGUUGAAACUCAAAUGAAUUGACGGGG